AGUGAACGCUGGCGGUAGGCCUAACACAUGCAAGUCGAACGGCAGCACAGUAAGAGCUUGCUCUUACGGGUGGCGAGUGGCGGACGGGUGAGGAAUACAUCGGAAUCUACUUUUUCGUGGGGGAUAACGUAGGGAAACUUACGCUAAUACCGCAUACGACCUACGGGUGAAAGCAGGGGAUCUUCGGACCUUGCGCGAUUGAGUGAGCCGAUGUCGGAUUAGCUAGUUGGCGGGGUAAAGGCCCACCAAGGCGACGAUCCGUAGCUGGUCUGAGAGGAUGAUCAGCCACACUGGAACUGAGACACGGUCCAGACUCCUACGGGAGGCAGCAGUGGGGAAUAUUGGACAAUGGGCGCAAGCCUGAUCCAGCCAUACCGCGUGGGUGAAGAAGGCCUUCGGGUUGUAAAGCCCUUUUGCUGGGAAAGAAAAGCAGCAGGUUAAUACCCCGCUGUUCUGACGGUACCCAAAGAAUAAGCACCGGCUAACUUCGU
rnacentral:rRNA from 1 species